rnacentral:lncRNA from 1 species
GAAGAACUCGGCGGCGAAGGUGACCACGUCCUCCGGCUGGCGCAGCAGCAGGAAGAGCAGGAAGUCGGAGAUGAGCGCGUGGGCUUCGGGGUGCUGCCGCAGAUAGCUGGCGUGGCCGAGCCGGAGCUCCUCCUGGCAGGGGACAGAGCCCGAGCCUCAGCCGGACGGGACCCCCGCGCCCCAGGAGCCCCCAGCCGCUCGCUCCAAGGAGAGCUAAGGGGCGCUGGAGCCUUCUAGCCCCUACGGGUGUGCAUUUCAAUCAGAUGGGCAUCUUGGUGAUGAUGCAGCACCCUGGGGAGCCCACCUGUAUUCUCUUGGCCAGGUGCCUGGAGUGCAACACAACAUGUGAGAGUGAGAAUCUUCCCAGACCGCCUGCUAUGGACUGAAUUGUCUCUCUAACCCCCAGUGUGGUGGUAUUUGGAGAAAGGCCAUGUGAGGACACAUUGAGAAGGCACUUGUCUGCAAGCUAGGAAGACAGCCCUCACCAGAAACCAACCCUGAUGGCACCAUGAUCUUGGACUUCCUGCCUUCCAGCAAAUAUAUUUCUCUUGAAGCCA